GAGCUCAUAACCAAAAGACACUUUCUAACCUUCAAUGUAACAUCCUAAAGAAACAUAGCAAAUAGCAUGAGCAUCUUCUUUAUUAUACUCUAGCUUCUCUAGGCCUAUCCAUACUCUUUUGCCUCUACUCAAGUUGCAAUACUCUUUACCUACAAGUUCCUUCAAUCAGCUCUCACAUUGAUUCACACACACACACAUACAAGGUGAACUCUCACAAAUGGGCACAUGAUCUCAAUCAUUUGGCUAGGUAAGCAAUGGUCUAAUAUGAAUGAAGAGAUGGGUUCAAAUGUUUUCAUUUAAGGGUGGUUAUCACUCAAAACAAGGAGCUUGAUCAUUAUGCAAAAUUUAUCUAAGAUUAGAAGCAACUCAUGCAUACAUAGAUUCAUUCUCAUCAUUCUACCCCCUUUUGUUAUAAGUGAUCACAAGUUCUACCCUCUUUAUCAUCAUCUUAAAAUCAAUCUAAAUCCCUCACAUCACUCACCCAAUGAACAACUCUCUUUUUCUUUUGACUCAACUGCUAGGGAUUUUAAUUCACUUUCUACAAGCUCUAACUCUUUUUCAUUUCCUUCCCCAACUUCUCUUUGAUUCUUUUUCUUUUCUUUUCUCUUUUUGUUUUUUAAGGGGAAGGUCCUUUGUUGAAAAAUCAAGAGCUUCUUUUUUUUUUUAAUCCCUAGAGUAUUCUUUUCUAUUCAUACUCUUUUGCUCGUCUCUCAUCUUUCUCACUCUCCAAACCCAAGAUAUGAAAUUUAGAACACACAAACUCCACUCACCAUCCCCAAAUGCUAACUCAUUGUGCUAGCAAGAGAUGAGAAUCAACCUAUGUCGCUUCCAAUACUCUCAAGAUUUUGCACAUGACAAGCUAUCAAAAGAGGCCUCACUCAUGCAAUUCAAUGUUUGGUCUCAAAGAAUGGUUAGGGUUUUAGGGUAAGGAGUGCCAUUUGGGUUAGCAAAGAUAGGUAUGAAGGAAUAAGAUAACCCAAAUGUGUAUAAGAUCCAUGAUCAUGUAUGCAAAUGCCCAUAUGCAAGAAAGAUUAAGUUCAUUCAAGCCAAGUUCAGUUUGGAGCUGAUUUUAAGAACAAUGUCAAUAUCAAGCAAGCAAACAAGUUUAAGAAGAGUUUUCAAGGCUCGAAGCUUACAAGCUUUUUCAAGAGAUGCUUAAGCUACUUGAUAUGUUUAGCUAGGAUGUCAAAUUGAGUUCUAAACAUGUGUUCUUUACAAGGUUUCUCCCUAUU
rnacentral:lncRNA from 1 species